CCUACGGGUGGCAGCAGUGGGGAAUAUUGGGCAAUGGGCGCAAGCCUGACCCAGCAACGCCGCGUGAAGGAAGAAGGCGUUCGGGUUGUAAACUUCUUUUUUUGAGGACGAAACAAAUGACGGUACUCAAUGAAUAAGCCACCGCUAACUACGUGCCAGCAGCCGCGGUAAUACGUAGGUCGCAAGAGUUAUUCGGAUUUACUGGGUGUAAAGGGCGUGUAGGCGGGACUGCAAGUCAGAUGGGAAAACCAUGGGGUCAACCCACGGCCUGCAUUUGAAACUGUAGUUCUUGAGUGAUGGAGAGGCAUGCGGAAUGCGGGGUGUAGCGGUGAAAUGCGUAGAUAUACCGAGGAACACCAGUGGCGAAGGCGGCAUGCUGGAGAUUAACUGACGCUGAGGCGCGAAAGCGUGGGGAGCGAACAGGAUUAGAUACCCCUGUAGUC
rnacentral:rRNA from 1 species